rnacentral:rRNA from 1 species
GAAGGUGUGCUGUGAGGCAUGCUGGAGGUAUCAGAAGUGCGAAUGCUGACAUAAGUAACGAUAAAGCGGGUGAAAAGCCCGCUCGCCGGAAGACCAAGGGUUCCUGUCCAACGUUAAUCGGGGCAGGGUGAGUCGACCCCUAAGGCGAGGCCGAAAGGCGUAGUCGAUGGGAAACAGGUUAAUAUUCCUGUACUUGGUGUUACUGCGAAGGGGGGACGGAGAAGGCUAUGUUGGCCGGGCGACGGUUGUCCCGGUUUAAGCGUGUAGGCUGGUUUUCCAGGCAAAUCCGGAAAAUCAAGGCUGAGGCGUGAUGACGAGGCACUACGGUGCUGAAGCAACAAAUGCCCUGCUUCCAGGAAAAGCCUCUAAGCAUCAGGUAACAUCAAAUCGUACCCCAAACCGACACAGGUGGUCAGGUAGAGAAUACCAAGGCGCUUGAGAGAACUCGGGUGAAGGAACUAGGCAAAAUGGUGCCGUAACUUCGGGAGAAGGCACGCUGAUAUGUAGGUGAAGUCCCUCGCGGAUGGAGCUGAAAUCAGUCGAAGAUACCAGCUGGCUGCAACUGUUUAUUAAAAACACAGCACUGUGCAAACACGAAAGUGGACGUAUACGGUGUGACGCCUGCCCGGUGCCGGAAGGUUAAUUGAUGGGGUUAGCCGCAAGGCGAAGCUCUUGAUCGAAGCCCCGGUAAACGGCGGCCGUAACUAUAACGGUCCUAAGGUAGCGAAAUUCCUUGUCGGGUAAGUUCCGACCUGCACGAAUGGCGUAAUGAUGGCCAGGCUGUCUCCACCCGAGACUCAGUGAAAUUGAACUCGCUGUGAAGAUGCAGUGUACCCGCGGCAAGACGGAAAGACCCCGUGAACCUUUACUAUAGCUUGACACUGAACAUUGAGCCUUGAUGUGUAGGAUAGGUGGGAGGCUUUGAAGUGUGGACGCCAGUCUGCAUGGAGCCGACCUUGAAAUACCACCCUUUAAUGUUUGAUGUUCUAACGUUGACCCGUAAUCCGGGUUGCGGACAGUGUCUGGUGGGUAGUUUGACUGGGGCGGUCUCCUCCUAAAGAGUAACGGAGGAGCACGAAGGUUGGCUAAUCCUGGUCGGACAUCAGGAGGUUAGUGCAAUGGCAUAAGCCAGCUUGACUGCGAGCGUGACGGCGCGAGCAGGUGCGAAAGCAGGUCAUAGUGAUCCGGUGGUUCUGAAUGGAAGGGCCAUCGCUCAACGGAUAAAAGGUACUCCGGGGAUAACAGGCUGAUACCGCCCAAGAGUUCAUAUCGACGGCGGUGUUUGGCACCUCGAUGUCGGCUCAUCACAUCCUGGGGCUGAAGUAGGUCCCAAGGGUAUGGCUGUUCGCCAUUUAAAGUGGUACGCGAGCUGGGUUUAGAACGUCGUGAGACAGUUCGGUCCCUAUCUGCCGUGGGCGCUGGAGAACUGAGGGGGGCUGCUCCUAGUACGAGAGGACCGGAGUGGACGCAUCACUGGUGUUCGGGUUGUCAUGCCAAUGGCACUGCCCGGUAGCUAAAUGCGGAAGAGAUAAGUGCUGAAAGCAUCUAAGCACGAAACUUGCCCCGAGAUGAGUUCUCCCUGACUCCUUGAGAGUCCUGAAGGAACGUUGAAGACGACGACGUUGAUAGGCCGGGUGUGUAAGCGCAGCGAUGCGUUGAGCUAACCGGUACUAAUGAACCGUGAGGCUUAACCUUACAACGCCGAAG